CCUACGGGAGGCUGCAGUGGGGAAUAUUGGGCAAUGGAGGAAACUCUGACCCAGCAACGCCGCGUGAAUGAUGAAGGUCUUCGGAUUGUAAAGUUCUUUUCUAAGGGGCGCAGAAAGUGACGGUACCUUAGGAAUAAGCCUCGGCUAACUACGUGCCAGCAGCCGCGGGAAUACGUAGGAGGCAAGCGUUAUCCGGAAUGACUGGGCGUAAAGGGUGCGUAGGUGGUUUGAUAAGUUGGUAGCGUAACUCCGAGGCUCAACCUCGGCACUACUACAAAAACUGGCGGACUUGAGUGCAGGAGGGGCAAGUGGAAUUCGUAGUGUAGCGGUGGAAUGCGUAGAUAUUAGGAGGAACACCAGUGGCGAAGGCGAGUUGCUGGACUGUAACUGACACUGAGGCACGAAAGCGUGGGGAGCAAACAGGAUUAGAUACCCUGGUAGUC
rnacentral:rRNA from 1 species